GUCUACGGCCAUACCACUCUGGCAACGCCCGAUCUCGUCCGAUCUCGGAAGCUAAGCAGGGUCGGGCCUGGUUAGUACUUGGAUGGGAGACCUCCUGGGAAUACCGGGUGCCGUAGGCU
rfam:Colinus virginianus strain Texas jcf7180006227103, whole genome shotgun sequence.